AAUAUUCAAUCAACAAUAAACUAGGAUGACCUUUCGAUUAAUGUUUCAACUAGCUGCACUAAUUUCUCUAGGGCAAGAUGUAAUUGGUUCCAGAAAAAUUGUUUAUUCUACUUUCAUUUUCAUUUCAGUAUGCAGCAGCUUCAAAAACACAUUUGGAAACACACAGGAAAUUAUUUUCCAACAAAAACAAUGGACAUCAUGUUUGAAUCAGAAAACGUAGUUUAAAGCUGAAAAUGACAUGACGUUUUGGUGUUUCCAGUAUUUAUUCAUUCUAACGAAACCCAGAUCUUCGGAAGGAAAAAGAAAAUUCCAUUUUACAACUUUAAUGAAGUAAAAGCAUAUACAUCCCCUUAAGAGAAUUUUCCUUUCCAAUCACAUGUUUCUGAGAAAACAGAAAAUGGAAAGUAAAAUACUAGUCAUAGUACUUCCACUUCCACACAAGGACCAAACAUGCAAAGCCAGGA